AUUGAACGCUGGCGGCAGGCCUAACACAUGCCAGUCGAGCGGAUGAAGGGAGCUUUCUCCUGGAUUCAGCGGCGGACGGGUGAGUAAUGCCUAGGAAUCUGCCUUGUAGUGGGGGAUAACGUCCGGAAACGGGCGCUAAUACCGCAUACGUCCUGAGGGAGAAAGUGGGGGAUCUUCGGACCUCACGCUAUCAGAUGAGCCUAGGUCGGAUUAGCUAGUUGGUGGGGUAAAGGCCUACCAAGGCGACGAUCCGUAACUGGUCUGAGAGGAUGAUCAGUCACACUGGAACUGAGACACGGUCCAGACUCCUACGGGAGGCAGCAGUGGGGAAUCUUGGGCAAUGGGCGAAAGCCUGAUCCAGCCAUGCCGCGUGUGUGAAGAAGGUCUUCGGAUUGUAAAGCACUUUAAGUUGGGAGGAAGGGCAGUAAGUUAAUACCUUGCUGUUUUGACGGUACCAACAGAAUAAGCACCGGCUAACUUCGUG
rnacentral:rRNA from 1 species